rnacentral:lncRNA from 1 species
UCAACAGUUCAGAGUACAGUCACAGCAAGAAAAGCAACCCAUGCAACCAUGAGUAGCCUGAGAUUCAUUUCACUGGAUUUCCCAAGAAUUAUACUUUAAUUUGAAAGACCAUUGAACUCUUACUGAUCUGAAAUUGAAUGCUGUAGAGCACCUUUAAACUGCUUCUGACAUUUAAACGGCAUUGAAGGAAAGGAUUUCACAGCAGAUAUAAAAGAUUCCUGUAAAACUGAUGGUGAACUGAUAAAGUUACUUUGAGAUGAGUAUUUAAGAGAUUUUGUCCAUGGAAGAAACUUUGUUGGCCAACUGAGCAACAAGAAGGAGCAAGGAAAGUAUAGGCUCCCAGCUGUUACUGUGUGUAGUGACAGUGCAAGUCAUGGCCUGUGAUUGAGCACCUGGUGGAAGGCAAAGCAACCCAGUGGAGCUCAGAUAUCUGCAAUGUACCUCAGUGAGUAGGAGUGGAACCAGGAUCCAGCCCUUCCCAGACCUCAUUUAAGGGCUGUCAGUGGCGACAAGGGUAUCUCACUGGAGAUCCCUGUGUACCCGAGGCCUUCCGCUUUUUU